UCUUUUAAUGCUUCUACCAAAGUUAUUUACAGGAAUGAUCUGAGUUUAUAUGUUUUCCUAUUUCUCUGCCUGUCUGUCUUAUUCAUUUUUGGUCUGUAAGGCCUGGAAUAGUGCCUAGAAUGUAGGAAAAAGAAUAAAAGGUUUUUGUUGAAUGAGGAACUGAAUAAUGGUUGAGAUGGAUGAAGAGUGUGGAAAUGAUUAUAAUCUAGAUACUUGGAUGAGAUUAGAUCACAUGUAUCCUAACACCCAAAAUGUUAUUUUAUUGGGUAACUAUGAUCAUCAGGGGCUAAAGAGAGUCUAGUUCGGAAUCUAGAGGUAAUAAAAACCCUCCUGACACCUGGGUUAGGCACAAAAAUAAACCUGAAUCAAGGACUUAAUAGAAAUCUGAGGACAAUAAUUAGAUCAUUUGCUAUCUUGUUUGAAUUCUCAUUUCACUACUUCUUAGCUACAUGAACUUCAGAAAGUUAGUUCCUGUCUCUGAGCCUCAAUUUUCUCAUCUGUCAAAUAGGGUUAUAUAGUAACCUACAUCAUAGAAACUGUGGUGAAGUGUAAAGAAGGUAAGGCAUGUAGUGCUUAGAAUAGGGCCUGGUACAUAUUUAGGACUCAAAUUACAGUACUUCUCAACUUUCCUGGUGGAUCAUCCCUGUGGUCCACCAUUCAAGGAACAUCCAAUUGCCACCAAAUUUCUUAGGCUGCCAUAUCUACCUGCUUCACCCUGCUUCCUUGUAUUGAAUCUCUUUUGGGAAGACACUGCAUAAAUCCAUCCAUGAAUCUGGAUCCACUUGAAUCUGGUCCCUGCAGCCCACCAUUCUUUGAGAUGGGAUUAGUUACAAGUCCCAGGUCUUAUAGUCUUCCCAGUCCUGCUUAGAUAACAAGAUAGAUCAGCAACAAGACGCCCUUUCCAAUCUAUGCCUACCUGUACAAACUAUUCUCUCACUUUGAUGCUCUCUCUACUUCUGCAGAAUUAAUGCUCUGCCCUUUUCAAAACUGACUCCCCACCCCCAGUUUGUAUAUGUUUGAUGCCUUCUCCAGCUACAUAUUGAAAUUUAUCAGAAAGAGCCAGUCCACACAUUUUUGUCCUAUUUUGUUCAAAGGCCUCUCCUUAAAACAUAAUAGUGGUUCUGGAGCCAGAUGGAGCUGGACAUAGACCUUGACCCUUUGUUUUCUAACUUUGUGACAUGGGGCAUGUUAGCCUCUUUCUGUGCCUCAGCAA
rnacentral:lncRNA from 10 species